rnacentral:rRNA from 1 species
UGCCACCGUCCAUAAGGACUCGCGUGAGGUGAAAUCCGUCGAUGAUUGGGUCUAAGACCAAUGCGGCUGAGCCGCCGUGAGGGAUACUAGUAGGAUGAUCCCUACGAUCAAAGGUGAUCGGACAAGCUGACCAUGGGUUGAACUUGGGGGCGACUGGCUCCAUCGCGUAGACGUCCUGUAGUGCCUGCUUCCGUUCCCGCUUGGGAAUGUGAGUGGCGUAGAUCAUGUUGACCAUUUUCACCUUGGGGGGGGAUUUCUUAUGUCCCCCCGUGUUCGGACGUCGGGGCUCUUCGUCAUCGUCGCUGUGCAGCCCCUUGUCCUUGUUUUUGGCAUUUAUUUUUGCCGGCCUGUUUGAACACCCAGCAGUCUCUAUUGGUGUGGUUGGCUGGCUUGUCCGGGGUGCCAUGAAUUUGGCACGAGCACUCCAGUAUGCGGUCCAGACUGGACGGUCCCUGAUUAUUUCUUUUGAGCGGCUUCUUCCGCUGACCGGACUUGGAUCCGCUGAAUCCAGCAUUGACUGUCGUGUCUUCAGUGCUGUCGCCGUUGUUGCGUCGCUUAUGUCUCUUACGCCGUGGCUUGCCGUUAGUAUCGCGGCCGUCCGAAGUGCCGGAAUGUGGCGUGGUGCCGCUGCGAGCCAACCAACUGUCCUCGCCCACGCAAAAGCGGGUCAUUAGUGUUGUGAGAGCUGCCAUGGACUUGGGUCUUUCCUGGCCGAGGUGGCGAGCGAGCCACUCGUCACGAAUAUUAUGCUUAAAAGCCGCCAGGGCUUCGGCGUCCGGACAGUCGACUAUUUGGUUCUUUUUAGUUAGGAACCGAGUCUAGAAUUUCCUGGCUGACUCUCCGGGCUGUUGAGUAAUGUGUCUUAGGUCAUCAGCGUCCGGUGGUCGCACAUAUGUGCCCUGGAAGUUGUCGAGGAAUGCGUCUUCCAGGUUUUUCUAACUGCCAAUGGAAUUUGCUGGCAGGCUGUUUAGCCAGCGCCGGGCAGGUCCUUUGAGCUUAAGGGGAAGGUAUUUGAUGGCGUGUAGAUCAUCUCCGCGGGCCAUGUAAAUGUGGAGAAGGAAAUCUUCGAUCCAUACUGCGGGGUCUAUUGUGCCAUCGAAUGAUUCGAUGUUUACGGGUUUGAACCCUUCUGGGAAUUCAUGAUCCAUCACUUCGUCAAUGAAGCAGAGGGGGUGUGCGGCGCCUCUAUGCCGGGCUAUGUGGCUACGCAGUUCGAAUUGGUCUGGGUUGCUGUGUUCGGCCCGGCCAGACUUGUUGAUGAUGUAUCCGGCGUGACGGUCAUCGUCGCGCGCUGGGGCGCGCCCCCACAAUCCGUAGAUCAAUCUUGGCUGUCUUGCUUUGUUUUCCAGAAUAUCUUCCAGGUCUUGCAUGUUGCCCCGGGCCGUAGUGUAUUGGCGUGGGGGUGCGGGCUGGUAUUCGGUCUUAUAUCCCGUUUUAUCCCGGCCACGGGGUGGCCGGCAGCCCUUUGGCGCUCGAGUCCGUAUUCCUCGGCUGCCAGGACUUCAGUCCGUCUAUCUGUGAGCAGGUCUUGAUCAGCUUGGAGUUCCUACUGCUUCUUCUUUAGGCUCCUUGCAGUGGCAAUAAGCCGGCGCUUGAAGCGCUCCUGCUCCACGGGAUCCUCAGGCACGCCGAACUCGUCGUCGCCGAGGCUAAUCUCAUCUUCGGAGGGGGGCAUAUAGUUGUCCUCCUCCGGAUAUCCGUCGGUCCCCUGUUCGCCUGGGCUGACCUGCUCAUCUUCCUGUUCGGCCUGCCCGAGGGCGGGCUGGUCAGGGUUGUAUUCCUCUUCGGUGCCAUCCGGAUUGCUUUCAUCUCCGGGCCGGUAUUGCUGUGGCGGGGCUUGGAGCGGCGCCGACGACGCCCAUGCUUUGCUUUUCUCCCUGAGGGGAUUGCCUCGUCGCCAUUGGUUUCCUUCGGAGUGUCCACCAUGUAUAUAUCGUAUGAGGAGGUGGCCAUCCACCGCCCUAUGAGCGGUGGCUCCUGUGAUUCUCCUGCAUCGUCGUCCAUACCGUCGAUAUCUUCGGAGUCAAAGUCAAGCACGUCGGUUAAAUCAUCGACCGUGGCAAUGAAGUGGGUGGUGGGUGGGCAGCGAAUUCCUUCAUCGCCUGCUUCCCACUCAAGCCGGACAUAGUUCGGUCCAGAGACUCCUGACAAAGAGAGAGAGACUUUAGUGAGUUCAGCAUGUCGCCAAAGGACGAGUGCUGGAAGAUGUCCGCGGCGGUGAACUCCAUUACCGGAGCCCAGCCUGGCUCGGCCGGCUCGAGGGUGCGCGGGCCGGAGCCGACAACCGGAUACGAGUCUGGGGGCCCAGGGUUAUAGGCUUUCGCAGAGGUGAGGCCUGUGUUCGGCUCCACCGCCGUCUCCCAUGUUCUACUCUUCCUCGCCAGAGACCGCAUCGUCGCUUCAUCGGUCUUAUUGCCGGUGCUCAUGGAGACGGCGGAUGGAGGACGACACGGGCUUGGACGCCAGGCGUCGCCGCCGUAGGAUUGGUUUAGGGGCGAGUCUUUUUUUUUGUUCAAAAUGUAAUGAAAUCCGUCAUGUUUGUAUGGAAUCCGCCAUAUUUAUAUGGAAUCCUCGCGUUUGUAUGAAAUUUGGUCGUGUUUGCAUGAAUUUCAUCCGGUUUGUUAAAAAAGUUUGAAAUGUAUGCAACUAAUGUUGGAUGUCGUACCGCCGCAUCCGUGUUCGUGGACCGAUCCCCUAUCUGCAGACGAAUGUAAGAUGAAAUUUACAUGUUACCAUUAGAGAUGCCCUAAGCUCAGUUCGGCUA